GUAUGAAGAGGGGAAGGGAGAGGUGUGGGGGAAGCUCUGCUUCAGCUGUGGGGCCACAGAAGGCAGGACUCAGGGAUGGUCUCCACCAUGGCCUGGUGCCCUCUCCUGCUCACCCUCCUUGCUCACUGCACAGGAUCGUGGGCCCAGUCUGUGCUGACUCAGCCUCCCUCAGUGUCUGGGAACCCAGGACAGAAGGUCACCAUCUCCUGCACUGGAAGCAGCUCCAACAUUGGAGCUGGUGAAUAUGUGUCCUGGUACCAACAGCUCCCAGGAAAUGUCCCCAAACUCCUUGUCUAUGAAAAUAGCAAACGACCCUCAGGUGUCUCCGACCGAUUGUCUGGCUCCAAAUCUGGCAGCUCAGCCACCCUGACCAUCACUGGGCUUCAGGCUGAGGACGAGGCCGAUUAUUACUGCUCAGCAUGGGACAAGAGUCUCAGUGGUCACACAGUGCUGCAGGGCCCUGGGGGAGCGAGACAAAAACCUGCUGUCCCUCUUGAAAUGGGGCCUCCAUGGGCAAAUGCUGCGCCUCUGAUAAGCCAGCCGAUUCUUGUGUUUGGCCAUUACUGGGGCCUGAGACCCACCUCGGUGACCUUGUUUGGAAAACCUGUCCUCACCCUUUAACUUCUGUCCCUGCACUUGUCCUUGGCAGCAGCACUUGAUGUGGUUUUCUCAAAUUGAGCAGGAAUUCCU